GGAGGACUCCCAGAGAGAGGAGGAGGAAUCACCAUGCCCAACGCGCUUUCUGAGGGCCCCCUGGAAGAGAGCAGGAGUUGCUCCUGCCCUUGGGGUGUGACUGCAGGAGGCUAGUGGCAGCCCCACCUGACCACAGUGUCUCACCACCAGACACCCCAUCCCUUCGGAUCCGGAUCCUGAACCUCUGCCCUCUAGAGUGUAAUUUUGUUACCCCACCCACAGCUCCAUCUGCUAAUGGAGACCUGACCUGUAGGCACAGGCCCGACCAGGGAGCCCCAAAGAGGAGGAUGGAGACCAGGACAGAAUCAGGACAGAAUUCAGUGCCAUCGCUUUCGAGUUGCAUGUUUUGGGGGGCCAUCCGGCUUCAUCCUCCUGAAAGCUGAGACAGGCAAGUGGCUGCGGAGUUGGAGCGUCCACGUUAAAAGCUCUUGCCCCGUUAUCAUCUCAGUUGAUGGAUUAAAGACACAAAAGGUGUAUAAAUGAAGAGCUGACACCAGGAUUCCUCGGAAGGAGGGACCUGCUUCUGCUGAGGGACCAAGGCUCCACCCAGAAGUAACAGAAGUCGUGGGAAAGCUUUGUGUUUCCACGGGCAAAGGAAAUGGAGGAUUUGUGAACUGGAAGAAAGCGAAGAAUGCACGAUUGGCUCUGAGGAAUGAAAACAGCACUUGGAAGUCGGAGAAAUGGAGACAGAAUCCAGACGGGCUUGGGGGGGCCAUACCGGAGGCAGCUGGGUCCCAGCCAUGAGAACUUCUUCAUGGUGGCUGCCAAAUUUUGCUGAACACGGCCGGUGGUCAGAA
rnacentral:lncRNA from 1 species